AGGUAGUAAUAACAAAAUAAACCUACUUAUUAUGGCGGCAUUCCAUCUAUUUAGAGGAACUUGUUUAUUAAUCGACAAUCCCCGAUAAUUUUCACUUUUAUAUAAAAUUUAUAUACCGCCAUCUAAAGAACUAAUUAUUAAAUAAUAUUCAAAAUAAAAAAUAAAAAGUUAGGUCAAGGUGUAAUCAACAUUUAAGAUAUAAAUGAGUUACUUUUAAUAAGAUUAAAGGAAUUAAAAUAAAAAUUUUAAAGAAAAGGGAUUUAACAGUAGUAUAUAUCUAAUAAUAUUUAUAUAUGAAAAAGAUAAUAAAUGUGC
rnacentral:rRNA from 1 species